GGAGUUUGAGACCAGCCUGGGCAACAUGAUAAAACCCCAUCUCUAAUAAAAAUGCAAAAAUGAGUGCUCCCUCCAGUCCGUGCCUCCAAUAUGACGAAGAAGAGAAGGAACAACGGUCGUGCCAAAAAGGGCCGCGGCCACGUGCAGCCUAUUUGCUGCACGAACUGUGCCCGAUGUGUGCCCAAGGACAAGGCCAUUAAGCAAUUCGUCACUGGAAAUACAGUGGAGGCCGCAGCAGUCAGGGACAUUUCUGAAGCAGGUGUCUUCGAUGCCUUUGUGCUUCCCAAGCUGUGUGUGAAGCUACAGUACCGCGUUGUGCAAUUCACAGCAAACUAGUCAGGAAUUGAUCUCAUGAAGCCCACAAGGACCGAACACCCCUACCCCGAUUUAGACCUGCGGGUGCUGCCCCACGUCCCCCACCAAAGCCCAUGUAAGGAGCUGAGUCCUUAAGGACUGAAGACGGACUAUUCUCUGGAGAAAAAUAAAAUGGAAAUUGCACUUAA